rnacentral:lncRNA from 1 species
GCUACAGCGCGCCGCGGAGGGGAUAAGGUCGCCACGAGCGCGCCUCGGGAUGCCUCCCCUCCCACUCGCUCCUCCCCCUCUCCACCUCGCUCGCUCCGCCUGCCUCACCUCGCCGAGUGCAGUCAGGGCCUCGCCGCCGUAGGAGCCGCGGCCACCGUCCUCCGCAGGCCUCGAGACCCUGCUCAGAAGACGCGUCGCCGUCCGCUACUUCCUCUACGCCCAGGAACGCGAGCUGGGGAGCCCUCCGUCGCUGGAUCGCUUUUGACUUCCUCCCCGACACCGACGAACUCCGUCGCCCCGAUUCGCCGCCCUCCUGCGCUCCUAAGCCCAUCGCCGGCCACCGUGUGCCUCACUGUGAGCCCCACACCUUUUCCCCCUCUCCUAGUUGCCCCGUGCGCUGUAGCCACUUCCCCUGCUCGAGGCCGACGCCGCCGUCCGCCAUGGCGGACGAGCACGUCGCUGCCGUGCCACUUAGCCUCGUCUGUGGAUGCGUGCGUGCUCUAGGAGCUGCGUAGAUGCCGCCUACCACCUCCGUUUGGUCGAUCCGUGGACAUUUUUCUCAGGCUCGUCAUGUCCGAGCUGCCACCAUCGCGAGCAUUCGCCACUGCCGUUGACCCUGUGCAUCACCGUGCCCCCAGUCACCUUAGCUCGAUGCGCGGCUUCGUCCGCAUCCCUCGCGACGCCCCUGCUCAUGUCGCCGAGCCCCUGCCUGUGCGCCCUCGCGUCCACGGCCGCGUCCGGCUGUGCCCUACCAUGCCUCCGCGUGCACCGGCCUGCGCGUGGCCUCACCCACCUGCUCCUGGACGCGCCCCUGUGCCUGCCCACGCUCGCGCGUCCGCCCGCUACCUGUACCUGCUACUCUUGUGCUACUGCCGCUGGCUGUUGCUACCUUGUUGCUGCUACUCUGCUUCCUUCGUUGGUGCUUGCCGUCGCUGCUGCUCCUAGAUGCUGCUGCUUCCUCCUGCUGCCGCUACUAGCUGAUGCUCCAAGCCGCUAGUUGCUGCUACUAAUGGCCUUGGCUGAGGCCAUGGCCGAGCACAAGCUUUGUGCUUUGUGCGUGCACAGCCACCACUGGCCGGCCCUUGCAAAUUAGCUUUGGGGGCUAACCACUAGUUAGUUUAACUACUAGCCAAUGACAGUAGCCCCCACUAUUAGUUAAUAUAAUUUAAUUAAAGUCUAAAUGACCAUAGUCAAUGACACGUGGAACCCGCUUACACUAUUCACUCUUUGACUAUUCAACCUUUGACUGGGUCAACCCAACCCCAUGGCCCCACUGUCAUACUCAUAGGCUGGAGUAACACUAGGUGACAAAAGUAUUUUGCUGUUUUAAUUUCGAAUUAAAAUAAAAAUCCUGAAAUUUCAGAAAAUCUUUUAAACUUCGAAUAAUCAUAUAAAAUAAACCGUAGCUCGGAUGAAAAAAACUUUGUACAUGAAAGUUGCUCAGAACGACGAGACGAAUUCGGAUACGCAGUCCAUUCGUCCGCCGCACACCCCUAACCUAUCGAACCGGCAACUUUCCCCCUCCGGCUCCUCUGCCCAAAAACACGAAACACCGGGGAUAUUUUCCCGGAUGUUUCCCCCCUUAACCGGCAUCGCCUCAUACCAUGUUAGGGCCCGCCUAGCAUCGUUACUUGUCUUGUCAUGCAUCGAUAUGCAUCUAUUUACAUGGUAUUCAUUGUUUCUCCCCCUCCCCCCUUUUCUCUCCGGUAGACUACGAGACCGACGCUGCUGCCGCCCAGUUCNNNNNNNNNNNNNNNNNNNNNNNNNNNNNNNNNNNNNNNNNNNNNNNNNNNNNNNNNNNNNNNNNNNNNNNNNNNNNNNNNNNNNNNNNNNNNNNNNNNNNNNNNNNNNNNNNNNNNNNNNNNNNNNNNNNNNNNNNNNNNNNNNNNNNNNNNNNNNNNNNNNNNNNNNNNNNNNNNNNNNNNNNNNNNNNNNNNNNNNNNNNNNNNNNNNNNNNNNNNNNNNNNNNNNNNNNNNNNNNNNNNNNNNNNNNNNNNNNNNNNNNNNNNNNNNNNNNNNNNNNNNNNNNNNNNNNNNNNNNNNNNNNNNNNNNNNNNNCUCCUCUAUACUCCUUGCAUUAGAGUAGUGUAGCAUGUUACUGCUUUCCGUUAAUCCUAUUCUGAUGCAUAGCCUGACAUUGUUGCUGCAUUUGUUGAUACCUUACCUGCAAUCCUAAAUACUUAGUAUAGGAUGCUAGUUUAUCAUCAUUGGCCCUACAUUCUUGUCAGUCUGCCUUGCUAUACUAUUGGGCCGUGAUCACUCGGGAGGUGAUCACGGGUAUAUACUAUACAUACAUACAUACUAUACAGAUGGUGACUAAAGUCGGGCCAGCUCGAUGAGUACUCGCAAGUGAUUCUGAUGAGGGGGCUGAAAGGACAGGUGGCUCCAUCCCGGUAGAGGUGGGCCUGGGUUCCCGACGGCCCCCGACUGUUACUUUGUGGCGGAGCGACAGGGCAGGUUGAGACCACCUAGGAGAGAGGUGGGCCUGGCCCUGUUUGGCGUUCGAGGAUAUUUAACACGCUUAACGAGAUCUUGGUAUUUGAUCUGAGUUGGCUACGAGCCUAUACGCACUAACCAUCUACGUGGGAGUAGUUAUGGGUAUCCCAGCGUCGUGGUAUCAGCCGAAGCACUUCAGACGUCAGCGAUGGAGCAGCGCGCGCCGGAUUGGAACGUAAGCCUGCUCUUGUAUUAAGGGGGCUAGUUCUGCUUCCGGCCGCCCUCGCAACGUGCAGGUGUGCUAUGGGCGAUGGGCCCAGACCCCUGUGCGCUUAGGUUUAGACCGACGUGCUGACCUCUCUGUUGUGUCUAGGUGGGGCUGCGACGUGUUGAUCUUCCGAGGCCGGGCAUGACCCAGGAAAGUGUGUCCAGCCAAAUGGGAUCGAGCGUGUUGGGUAAGUUGGUGCACCCCUGCAGGGAAGUUAAUCUAUUCGAAUAGCCGUGAUCUUCGAUAACAGGACGACUUGGAGUUGUACCUUGACCUUAUGACAACUAGAACCGGAUACUUAAUAAAACACACCCUUCCAAGUGCCAGAUACAACCGGUGGUCGCUCUCUCUCAGGGAUACGAGGAGGGGAUCGCCAGGUAGGAUUAUUGCUAUGUGAUGUUACUUGGAGGACUUCAACCUACCCUCUUCUACAUGCUGCAAGGCGGAGGCUGCCAGAAGCGUAGUCUUCGACAGGAUUAGCUAUCCCCCUUUUAUUCUGGCAUUUUGCAGUUCAGUCCACCGAUAUGGCCCUUUACACAUAUACCCAUGCAUAUGUAGUGUAGUUCCUUGCUUGCGAGUACUUUGGAUGAGUACUCACGGUUGCUUUUCUCCCUCUUUUCCCCUUUCCCUUCUACCUGGUUGUCGCAACCAGAUGCUGGAGCCCUGGAGCCAGACGCCACCGUCGAUGAUGACUCCUACUACACCGGAGGUGCCUACUACUACGUGCAGCCCGCUGACGACGACCAGGAGUAGUUAGGAGGAUCCCAGGCAGGAGGCCUGCGCCUCUUUCGAUCUGUAUCCCAGUUUGUGCUAGCCUUCUUAAGGCAAACUUGUUUAACUUAUGUCUGUACUCAGAUAUUGUUGCUUCCGCUGACUCGUCUAUGAUCGAGCACUUGUAUUCGAGCCCUCGAGGCCGCUGGCUUGUACUAUGAUGCUUGUAUGACUUAUUUUAUUUGUAGAGUUGUGUUGUGAUAUCUUCCCGUGAGUCCCUGAUCUUGAUCGUACACAUUUGCAUGCAUGAUUAGUGUACGAUUGAAUCGGGGGCGUCACAAGUUGGUAUUAGAGCCGACUGCCUGUAGGAAUCCUCCUUCCACACUCCUUGGCCGAAGUCGAGUCUAGACGUUGCAAAAACUUUUACUAACAUGGCUGUGUGUCCUACGGGCACACGUCGCCAUUGGGUGGUAGUAGGAUCUUUUACUCCUCGACCUUUACUCUGGGACUCUGAUCUCUCCUCUAUUCGGGUUAAAUGAAGUUUACUAAAUCUAACAUUAGGAUCUCGUUAUCACUUUCACCCGGAGAGCCCCUUAUUACCAAUGAUCGUCUGCUGCACCAGAAGACCCUGAAAAUACUCUCCGCUGUUAACCCGAGAACUUGUGUUCAUCACGUUUGCAAUUCACCUUCCACCGCAAACCCUUAUGGAUAACUACUUGCAUUUGUUAUUCUUACCUUCAUCCCCAGUGGUCUUGUUAUUACAAGAUACCCUGAAAAACUCGUCGUGGUUUCGAUAAUCCCUUGAGCUUACUGCCUUGCUGUUCUUGUCACUUGAAUACCCCUACGGUUAAUUCUCGCAUUUAUCGAGUAUCCGCCCAUCCCCCAGUUGUUCAUGUGUUACACAAAAGUCUUCGAAAUACCACCCGAUAUUCUGAAAAUCCUCAGCAACCUAUUGCUUUGGAAUUUCUUGUUUGCUUUCAUUAUGAUUAAUCCCAUAAGUAUAGAAAUCUUAUUGACAUUCCUUGUCAUUAUCAUUUUGAGUCUGUUGACUCAAUAUGUUGCGAAUACACGCAAUCAUCAUUGAUCCUUAUAAAUUACCUUUCCGGCUGAGCUUCCAUUCUUUUAACUGGAAUUGGUUCUCGACCAAUCCAAUUGUCGUUGAUUGUACCCUAAGGCUAUUCAACUUAUCCAUCCCUAAUCAGAGCGUUGCUUUUGAUCCCUUGAUUUGGAAAUCAUAAUUCCUUUGAAUUUGACAAUUGAGUUAGUCAGUUGUUUCUAUAAUCUGAUCUCCUUGCAUUCUUCUUCCUCUAGUUGAGUACCAAUACUCGUAUCAGAUCCUUUGUGGACCAUCAAGUCCUUUGUUGGAUUGUUAUCCGACAGUGUCCUUCAAAUUUGAUCACCUUGUGAGUUCUUCCCCUGAUACAUAAUGCCUUUGUUAAGUUGUAUCCUCUGCUUGGCCAACCAUGCUCUGCUUUUGGGCUUGUGUUAUUUACUCUUGAAACUUGUGGUAUAUGUUUCUAAGAAGCCCCUAUGGGUUGAACAUAUGCCUUCUCUAAACCGUGUGAACCCGAAAGUUUUCACGAGUCAUACUCUUCUGGUGCUUCACCAGAUAAAAUUUCAACACUGCAACUUCAUCGAACAUGAGAAGUGAAUGAAAGGUUAUGCAUUGGAGAAGUGGGAGUCGACCUUGAACUUGUGUUCAUGCCCAUGGACACGAUGUAGAUCUUAUCAUUAAAGCUUCUCUUAAAUAAAUUAUUCCUUUGGUAUAAGUUCAUCUUAUAUCUAGGAUCUGGCCUUUUGCAACCGUGGUUCCGACCAUGAUUGUUCUUCUUUGAUCUCAUUUCUCGGACAAGUUAAAACAAUUGUCUUCUAUGGAUCAAUACACCAGUCCAACCUUUACUUUGAUCUUGUGUCGAGUAUUACCCCCCUGGUAUCUCGAGAUUAUCAUGGAACUGCAUAACCUCUCAUCAGAUCUUCAUCAAGUGCUACAUUUUCACUGAUUCCAAUUUUUCACGGGCUCUGAGUUAUGAAACACUCAAAAACACCGAGAAUUGAACCGAGUCCACAUUACGGUUCAACAACUCCUACUGAUAUUAUUUACUUACGAGUUUGUACCCGAUCAUGUCAUUCCUAGCCUGUUUGGCUAUAUCCUUGUCGUGAUGAUUCUAACUGUGCUACCUGGUCCUUCCCGUAGCACAAUUAUUUGAGGAUGAGCUAAGCUUACGUUGAUCUUCCUCAUCAUAUCAUUUCGCCUUGGGCAACAAGCUUGGUUUCGAGUUUGUGUCGUACCUUUGGUUCCAAUAACCUUUUGCUUUACCAUUCAUUUGACUUGAGGUUAUCGCCGAUCGAUUACAUCUUGAAAUCUCUCGACAAGUGUGUCGUGAUCAUCAUCAACCUCAUGAGCUCUUCCAGGAUAUCAAAUGAGUUCAUGAUGAGAAUACCAUCCUUGCCCUCGAUGAUCUGCGUUAUCAUCGACCACUUUAUUGCCUUCCUGCCAACACAAGCUUAUUCGUGUUUGAUGUUAUACCUUGAGUUCCUUGCUAUCCAGCAAUUGUUCUCCCUUACCUUGGAACAUUAACAUCUCUUAUGUCAUCAAUGUUGUGAGAAUUUCACCACCUCUUAAGAAUUCUUGGUAUGGUGAUACUUCUCACCAUCACCAUUCUUUCUUGGGUCCUCGUGUCGAUCCCAAGCGGGGUACCAACAAGUGAACGAUGCUAUUUGGAUUCUGCACUUCUAGCAACCCUAUUGCUUUGAAGUUAAUGGGCGGUCGUUCAUUCUUAGACUAUUGAUUAUUGAAUCAUCAUUCUGACAUUGGUCGUGCAACCCAACCCAUAUUUUGGGCGCACCUUUCAACCAAUGUUUAAUUGUGUAUGUCUUCCUCGGGCAUACUUCCUUGUAUCAUUUGAUCUGACAAAUGUUAUCUCCUUAUCCACAUAAUUGUGGAGAUCCAUCUUCUUGGAUACCUCGUUGAAUAAAUCGCUGAGUCCAUCAGCCACCUCCUCAUCCUCUUCUUGAUUUAAUGAUGAACCCUUGUUUUGGAACUCGCUUCCAUAGUUCUUUUCCCGAGAAUCUUUGAUGUCAUCUCGUCAUUUUGUGUUGCACCUUUUCUUCUGAGGCAUCCUGGGUCUGAGGUAUCCUGUCACCAAUCAGAUCUGAAUCUCAGUCAGAUAUGAUGGUUGGAACAUAAUUCCAAGAGUUAUAAUGUUGGUCUUUAUAUGACCCGGUAAGGUGAUGUCAUGCCUAGCACACCUGGCCGGAGGACCUACUAUUAUAGUUUCCUUUUUGGCAAGGUUAGUCAUUCUUCCGUGAGGAAAUUGUAAGACUUAUUCUAUAAGUUGUUCCUGAUGGAUCCUUUGUGUAUCCAAAGUCUGAUCUUUGCUUGAAGACCAUGUCAAUGAUAUCUUGAAGCAUGUAUGUGGUACUCCGAUUUUCAAGAAAACAUCUUGAAGCCCAAUUCUAAAUGUUUCUUGCUCGAUUAUCGAAACACCGUUGUAUGGGUAAUGUCGUGGAAUUCCUCUGCCCUUACCUAAAGGGUUUUCUACUGCAUAUCCUGUCAUGGAUAUCGUGCUCUGCUUGUCCUUGGGAAGGAUAUACCCCUGGAAUAUGUGUCUAAACACAUUUUGCUUUCCAUUUUUUUGUUUAGCCUUUCUUGUACUCUGACUUAUCUAAGUAGUGGUAAUUCCCUGCUUAGGUAAACACCUUGGUGUACAACCCUAUCAAGUAUAACCCUGUUACUAUUGUUGAUGUCAUUCCAUUAACAGUCGGUGAACGAGAACCUUGCCUAUUGGUCCACCUCCUUACAAUGAGCAAAAGAAUGUUUCUCUUCAUCCCCGUCCUUCGUACUGACAUUGUUGCCAACAUAGCUAACGGACUAUCCUCUGACAUGCCUUGCUUUCUGUGCAAGAUGUCAUCGCCCUUCCUACUCUUAACCCACAUGGUGGGCCCAUAACCCAUAGUUCCACGGGAUCGAAACCUGACUCUCCUGUACAACCCUGAUUCUAAGGUAUUCUUGGCACUUGACUUCGUGUGUAAUGCACGAGCUAAAUUCUACCAUGUUUCAUCCUGGUAUCAAACACCAUAUUAUUCUCGUUGAUCAAGGCCCCAUUCCGGCUUCUAUAUAGUCAUCAAAUGAUUGCAUACCAGUUUGAAACUUUGGUACCAUCGUAUAUUGCACUCAACGAGUUCACUGAAAUACAACUCAUGGGGUACCUCGUGUAUUUUCCAUUGAGUUCACCGUCAGAUGCCCAACUUUGUGGAGAUGCGUUCUUCCGGAGUUUUUCCCCUUGAUCGCGUUCGUAGGAUGAUGGAGAUCCCGAAGAAAGGAUGGCGACUUGAUCAUGGUGACUUGAAGCAGAGAAAUGAAGACAUCAACGAAAGGGAUCAACCUCUUCGAAAGGGCAGCCAAGACCGAGAAGACUCGUUAGGUUUUCGCUACCAACACUUUUCCCCCCUUACUCCACCGCUUAAAAUCUCGGGAUGAGAUUUCUAGUAGUGGAGGAGAAUUGUGACGCCCGGAUAAUUAAGCUACAGUAAUUCUCGGCUAAUGAUGCCACGUUACUUCGAUUACUGUUACUUCGACUACUGUUGCUAAUCUCGCAUUAGUCCGAAAACCAGUUCAAAUUUCAAAUUUAAAAUAAUGUCAAAACGGUAAAAGUUUUCAAACUUUAAAACUUAAAUGUUCUAGAGGUGCCAGAUAAUGCAUAGGCAAUUAUGGUGAAGAACCCACUUUUUUUUGGAAAUGUUUAAGAACUCUAAAUGAAUACAAAAGUAGCAAAAAACAAUUAUUUGAAUGCUUUUAAAAAACGGCAAAUAUUUAAAUUGUUCUAAAUUAAUUUGAGAAUUUGUGUGUUGCUUUAAAUUAUUACCUAGUAUUUGUGUGCUAAAUAUUAGCUUUAGAUAAAUAUUUUUACUACUAAAGAGAAAUGCAAAUUAGAAAAGAAAAACAACAAAAAAUAAAAAUAAGAAAGCCUCCUGCCCUCUAGGCCUCGGCCCACCCGAGCUGGCCUAGUGGCCCACUCCUACUCCCCGGUCAACUCUCUCCUCCUCCUGUUCCCCAGACCAGAGUCGGCCGCCCGUUCCCACCGAACCACCUCGCCGGCCUCGUCGCUACAGCGCGCCGCGGAGGGGAUAAGGCCGCCACGAGCGCGCCUCGGGACGCCUCCCCUCCCACUCGCUCCUCCCCCUCUCCACCUCGCUCGCUCCGCCUGCCUCACCUCGCCGAGUGCAGUCAGGGCCUCGCCGCCGUAGGAGCCGCGGCCACCGUCCUCCGCAGGCCUCGAGACCCUGCUCAGAAGACGCGUCGCCGUCCGCUACUUCCUCUACGCCCAGGAACGCGAGCUGGGGAGCCCUCCGUCGCUGGAUCGCCUUUGACUUCCUCCCCGACACCGACGAACUCCGUCGCCCCGAUUCGCCGCCCUCCUGCGCUCCUAAGCCCAUCGCCCGCCACCGUGUGCCUCACUGUGAGCCCCACACCUUUUUUCCCCUCUCCUAGUUGCCCCGUGCGCUGUAGCCAGUUCCCCUGCUCGAGGCCGACGCCGCCGUCCGCCAUGGCGGACGAGCACGUCGCUGCCGUGCCACUUAGCCUCGUCUGUGGAUGCGUGCGUGCUCUAGGAGCUGCGUAGAUGCCGCCUACCACCUCCGUUUGGUCGAUCCGUGGACAUUUUUCUCAGGCUCGUCAUGUCCGAGCCGCCACCAUCGCGAGCAUUCGCCACUGCCGUUGACCCUGUGCAUCCCCAUGCCCCCAGUCACCUUAGCUCGAUGCGCGGCUUCGUCCGCAUCCCUCGCGACGCCCCUGCUCGUGUCGCCGAGCCCCUGCCUGUGCGCCCUCGCGUCCAUGGCCGCGUCCGGCUGUGCCCUACCAUGCCUCCGCGUGCACCGGCCUGCGCGUGGCCUCACCCACCUGCUCCUGGACGCGCCCCUGUGCCUGCCCACGCUCGCGCGUCCGCCCGCUACCUGUACCUGCUACUCUUGUGCUACUGCCGCUGGCUGUUGCUACCUUGCUGCUGCUACUCUGCUUCCUUCGUUGGUGCUUGCCGUCGCUGCUGCUCCUAGAUGCUGCUGCUUCCUCCUGCUGCCGCUACUAGCUGAUGCUCCAAGCCGCUAGCUGCUGCUACUAAUGGCCUUGGCUGAGGCCAUGGCCGAGCACAAGCUUUGUGCUUUGUGCGUGCACAGCCACCACUGGCCGGCCCUUGCAAAUUAGCUUUGGGGGCUAACCACUAGUUAGUUUAACUACUAGCCAAUGACAGUAGGCCCCACUAUUAGUUAAUAUAAUUUAAUUAAAGUCUAAAUGACCAUAGUCAAUGACACGUGGAACCCGCUUACACUAUUCACUCUUUGACUAUUCAACCUUUGACUGGGUCAACCCAACCCCAUGGCCCCACUGUCAUACUCAUAGGCUGGAGUAACACUAGGUGACAAAAGUAUUUUGCUGUUUUAAUUUCGAAUUAAAAUAAAAAUCCUGAAAUUUCAGAAAAUCUUUUAAACUUCGAAUAAUCAUAUAAAAUAAACCGUAGCUCGGAUGAAAAAAACUUUGUACAUGAAAGUUGCUCAGAACGACGAGACGAAUCCGGAUACGCAGUCCGUUCGUCCGCCGCACACCCCUAACCUAUCGAACCCGCAACUUUCCCCCUCCGGCUCCUCUGCCCAAAAACACGAAACACCGGGGAUAUUUUCCCGGAUGUUUCCCCCCUUAACCGGCAUCACCUCAUACUACGUUAGGGCCCGCCUAGCAUCGUUACUUGUCUUGUCAUGCAUCGAUAUGCAUCUAUUUACAUGGUAUUCAUUGUUUCUUCCCCCCCUUUUUCUCUCCGGUAGACUACGAGACCGACCCUGCUGCUGCCCAGUUCGACUACGGAGUUGACGACCCCUCUCUCUUGCCAGAGCAACCAGGCAAGCCCCCCCUUGAUCACCAGAUAUCGCCUAUUCUCCUCUAUACUCCUUGCAUUAGAGUAGUGUAGCAUGUUACUGCUUUCCGUUAAUCCUAUUCUGAUGCAUAGCCUGACAUUGUUGCUACAUUUGUUGAUACCUUACCUGCAAUCCUAAAUACUUAGUAUAGGAUGCUAGUUUAUCAUCAUUGGCCCUACAUUCUUGUCAGUCUGCCUUGCUAUACUAUUGGGCCGUGAUCACUCGGGAGGUGAUCACGGGUAUAUACUAUACAUACAUACAUACUAUACAGAUGGUGACUAAAGUCGGGCCAGCUCGAUGAGUACUCGCAAGUGAUUCUGAUGAGGGGGCUGAAAGGACAGGUGGCUCCAUCCCGGUAGAGGUGGGCCUGGGUUCCCGACGGCCCCCGACUGUUACUUUGUGGCGGAGCGACAGGGCAGGUUGAG